ACGGAACCGUUUCGCGCGCAUUCUUGAAAAUCGAAUGCCCGCGCGCGUGUCCGUACUGUACGUAGAACACCGCGUUGUCCUUCGACUGCUCAAUCACCUUGGCAAGGUCGAAAUCGAGCACCGCAUCGUUCUUGCGGAACAGCAUCAUGAAGCGCACGGCGUCGGAACCGACUUCGUCCACCACUUCGCGCAGCGUGACGAAGUCGCCGGAGCGCUUCGACAUCUUCACCGGCUCGCCGCCCCGCAGCAGCUUCA
rnacentral:misc_RNA from 1 species